rnacentral:rRNA from 1 species
CCCUUAGAUGUCCUGGGCUGCACGCGCGCUACACUGAUGUGCCCAGUAAGCACCUAACCUAUUCCGAGAGGAGCGGGUAACCUUAGCAAAGCACAUCGUGAUGGGGAUAGAUUAUUGCAAUUAUUAGUCUUGAACGAGGAAUUCCUAGUAAGCACAAGUCAUCAGCUUGUGUUGAUUACGUCCCUGCCCUUUGUACACACCGCCCGUCGCUCCUACCGAUUGAAUGUUCCGGUGAGCUCUUCGGACUGCGCGGUCUGCAGUUUCUGCGUUCCGUGCGGAAAGUUGUGCAAACCUUAACAUUUAGAGGAAGGAGAAGUCGUAACA